rnacentral:tRNA from 1 species
GGUGGUGUAGCUCAGCGGUGGAGGGCACACUUAGCAAGCACAAGGUCCUGGGUUCAAACCCCAGAGCCUCCA